UAAUUUCUUAAAGAUUUUCUUCACUUGUUACAAUGAGUUUUUAAAGACUUUCUUUACUUGUUUCUGUAUGUUGGCAUGAUCUUCUUUACCUGUUAGGUUGGUUUUUCACUUUGGUUCUAUUUGUUAGCCAUGACUACUUGACUUUGUUGAUUACCAUGCUUUGGGUGGGUUCUUUUUACUACUGAGUCAUUAGCCUACUCAUGUCACUUCUGUAUGUUUGUGUACAUCUAGUUUUCUUCUUUUUGUCGAUAUGGCUGACCUUGCAUGUUUGAUACGCUUGUUAAUUCUUCUCUAUUUAUAUGUCAAAGUGCAAAAUCAUGACCCCUUUUUGAUUGAUCCUGAUUUCCUUAAGUUACAGUUUAUUUUCAUGUUUUUUUUAUAAACC
rnacentral:lncRNA from 1 species